rnacentral:tRNA from 1 species
GGCAGUGUUGCUUAGUGGCUAGAGCACCAGCCUGGGAGUCAGGAAACUUGGGUUCUGUUCUCAGCUCUGCCA